rnacentral:ncRNA from 1 species
CACAAGCUUUUAUAAGCAAAGAUGGAUAGUGACUAGCAGUGGGAUGUUCACUCUAAUUCCGAUUAUUAACCACACCACCAGUUGCUACUACCGAUUGAAUGGUUUAGUGAGGUCGUUGGAAUGGUAUCGUUGUAGUGACUUUGCCGUUCGACUGAUGCUGAGAUGACCUAAUUUAAAUAUUUAGAGGAAGUAAAAGUCAUAACAAGGUUUCCGUAGGUGAACCUGUGGAAGGAUCAUUA